GGGCGUUUGGCACAGUGGUAGCGCGCACGCUUUGCAGUGGGAUUGCGUGAGGUCCAGGGUUCAAGCCCCUGAACGUCCA
rnacentral:tRNA from 1 species